rnacentral:rRNA from 1 species
GAUGAACGCUAGCUANAGGCUUAACACAUGCAAGUCGAGGGGCAGCACAGUGUAGCAAUACAUGGGUGGCGACCGGCGCACGGGUGCGUAACGCGUAUCCAACCUUCCCGUUACUCUUGGAUAGCCUUCCGAAAGGGAGAUUAAUACAAGAUGGUAUUCAAAUUCCGCAUGUUAUUUGAAUUAAAGAUUUAUCGGUAACGGAUGGGGAUGCGUGACAUUAGAUAGUAGGCGGGGUAACGGCCCACCUAGUCUACGAUGUCUAGGGGUUCUGAGAGGAAGGUCCCCCACACUGGAACUGAGACACGGUCCAGACUCCUACGGGAGGCAGCAGUGAGGAAUAUUGGUCAAUGGUCGGAAGACUGAACCAGCCAAGUAGCGUGAAGGAUGAAGGUUCUAUGGAUUGUAAACUUCUUUUAUACGGGAAUAAAACACCUUACGUGUAGGGUCUUGUAUGUACCGUAUGAAUAAGCAUCGGCUAACUCCGUG